AUGCCAGUUUACCCCAGGAAUGGCAAUUUGUGUCUUCUUACUCUCUAUGCCUCCCCUCAUGGCUCCCCAUCUAAAGAGGCCAUAGCGCCCAGCUAUGAAGUGCUCAGAGACCCAAGUUCCAACUCCAGUGAGGCUCUUGUCUUACACCAUCACAGCACCACAUGCAUGAAGGAGCCAAAACCUUUCUGGGGAUUUGCCCUCAAGCUGGAAGCUGGUGGAUCUCGGAGCCGAAUGUCCUUAUUUGUUGAGCAGAAGAGCAGAAAUGCACUGUGAAACUUCAGUGAAUUGUGACCUGUGUUGUGAGUUGAAGGCAGGUCGGGGAACUGUAACAUUCCAUUAGGAAGUGGCAC
rnacentral:lncRNA from 1 species